rnacentral:lncRNA from 1 species
CGACGACGACGACGAGCGGUCUCCAGAACUGACCUGAGGUCUAGUGUGAUCAGUCUGCCUGCCUCUGUGAUCCCCCGCAGCACUGGCUGGAAGUCCGCCGCGUGUCAGUGAGGAGCUGCUGCAGAAGGAAGAAGAAGCGGCGUGGGGACCUGGGAGGCAGGAGCAAGCAAGAAGAGGAAGCGGAAGCGUGCAGAUGCGGGGGGGAAGGAGAGAGGCUCCCUGGGCAAAGCACCUGUCCCGUUAGCAGGGGCACAGUCACGUUUGAGUUGAGAGCUGCCGGCGCCUUUGGUGACCAGGCUGGCGUUGUGCUGGGCGACCUCCCCGUAAGCGGGGCUCGGGUCUUUGCUGUAGUUGGCCUUUUGCCUUGCUGCUCCUUUGGCUGCCUGGGGAGCGUGGCCCCCUGUAACGGAGGGCGAGAGCCACCUCUCCGCACCUGAGUGGGAAAUGGAGCUCGCCGGACCCCAAGGCCACCCUGUAAGCAGGGUAGUGCCGUUCCCUGCCCCUCUUCCUCCCCCGGCCCCUCGCAUCGUUGCCUGAUGGUGGCUUGUCAACGCGACGGCCCCGUACUCGG